UGGGGGGCGGUGGAGCCAGCUCGUGGUGCCUGAGGCUACAAGCCCAAGUAUCUUCAACUCAAGAAGAAGUUAGAAGAUGAGUUCCCCGGACGCCUGGACAUCUGCGGCGAGGGGACUCCCCAGGUUACCGGGUUCUUUGAAGUCAUGGUAGCAGGGAAGUUGGUUCACUCUAAGAAGGGAGGCGAUGGCUUCGUGGACACAGAGAGCAAGUUUCUGAAGCUGGUGGCCGCCAUCAAAGCCGUCUUGGCUCAGGCCGGAGUGCCCUGAAGGCGGAGCCCGUGGCCUUGGCCCAGCCUCUCGGCAGACGCUUCAUGAUGGGAUGGACUGAAAUGUCUCCAGACGCCGGUCUUUUCCUGAUGUUCUGCGGCUGCCGGGCAGACAGCGCCCUGGUCUGUGCGUGUGUGUCUUUCCCCGGAAUCUGGCCUUGCACACUGGCCCUGUACCCCCCUUUCGCCGUCCCCCUGCCUACACCCCGAUGUCUUCCUGUCCCCCCUCUGGUGUUUGGGCUGGUCCAGCUCCAGGUUUCUUUCCCAAGGAGGAGCCAAGAGGGGGUCCGGUUUCAGCCGUGUUUGCAACAUUGACAGUUCAAUAAAUACUGAAUGAGUUUAGCAGA